GCUAGGUGUGGUGGUGCAUGCCUGUAAUUCCAGUGGCUUGGGAGGCUGAGGCAGGAGGAUUAAAAGUUCAAAGCCUCAGCAACAGCAAGGCCCUAAGCAGCUCAGUGAGACCCUGUCUCUA
rnacentral:sRNA from 1 species